UGGUCGUGGGAGGAGGCAAAACGAACGCCCAGGCCAAACCCUAUCCCUAUCCCAAUCCCCACAGGCUCUGCCUCCCUAGCUCCCUCUCCUGGCCGCCGCCUCCCCAACUCCCUUUCCCCGCUGCCGGUCUCCUCUCCGGCGAGCCGCCGGCGGCCAUGUCCUCCUGCUCCGGAUCAUCAAGGCCAAGGACGAGCGGUGGGCCUAGGACGAGCGGCUCAGGCUAGUACGGCCGCGCUCGCCUCGAUGUUCGUCGGCUCCGGCGAGGCCGUGGCUGUCCUCGGCGGCACGCUGGCCGCGGCGGACCUCAUCUUCCGCACCACUACCUCGCGCCAUCACCAUCAUCGGGAAGAGGGGCAGGUGGCCGCUGCACUCCGUCUCUCACUCAUGUGCUCAGGAGAGGAAAAGGUGGAGGUCGUUGGGAGAUGGGUGGCGCCCAGAUCUCCAUGAAUUUAGGAACUGCCAAAUUUGGUCACAGUUAAAGAUGUUGAUGUUGAUGUUGUUUUUGUUGCUUGCCUCAUGGAACAACACAGGAAAUUAUUAGAUAAUUACCCAAGCAACUGAAGAUUGUUGAUGUCUCCGUGGUAAGCUCUCCACAAACUCAAGCUUAAUUAUCUAUGUAGGUAUUGCCUUGGUCACAUAACAACCAGUCAUUCUUAUGAGUGACACUUGCAAUAUUUCCCAUUGCGUGACAUCUGAGGGUGCGCACAGUGGUAUGGCCAUGCUCAUAGGGCACCGGAACUUCAGCAAGAGGUUGUGUAUGCUUUGAUAGAAGUUCUCCGAGAUGAAAUAAGAAAUGCACGACUUGUUGCCAAUCCAGGAUGUUAUCCCACGUCUAUUCAGAUCCAUCUUGUCCCUCUAAAAAAGGCAAAAACUGAUCAAGAUGAGAAACAUUAUAAUUGAUGCAAAAUCUAGGGUUAUUGGGGCAGGCUUGUGUAAUUUGAAGGACGCGGAGCUAAGGAAGCAAAUACUUACACCGAGAUAGCCAAAGGCUUUAAUGCUUAUGAAAUAAAAGGCCUCCGGCAUGUUCCUCAGGUUGAACAAGGGCUUUCAAAUGCUGCUGAAUCCAAAAGUUACUAUCAGCUUCACCCCAAACCUUAUCUACACGAAACGUUGGAUGCAAUCUACCAUGUUUGCUGAAAUGGCACCUGGAUUGUCAGUGAUUUGUAUCGACAUCUCAAGUCUACAUACUUUCAAGUGGAUUGAAGAUGCCAAAUCCCUAUUUCUUGUUCUCUAACACUGUACAUCGACAAUCUUGUGAAAGGAGCAUUUGGCUAGGUUGUGUACAACUUCAAUCUGAUGACGGAUCUGACUGAGAACACGGGGCUGCAAUAUCAGCCCCUGUUUCCUUGAUAUUUGGUGUGAAUGGAAGAGUUGAAAGUAAUUGCAAUUUUUUGGUUAAGAUCAUAUUUUAUUGUGUUAUAAAUUCUGGACAUAAUUUUUUUGCGUUAUAUUCAGAUCCAUUUAAGGUAGGUUUCGUCGCCCAUUUGAUUCAGCUUUUCUCCAAGUGCUAAUCGACCACCCACUGGUUUACAAAACAAUAAGCCUGAAAAGUCAUAUGUUGAACAAGUGGUCAUCGUCCGUCAAAACACACCCGUACCUCAAUUCUUAUACUUGGUCUCCUUGUAGUCUGUACCUCAAAAUCGUAGUGCUUGUAGCAACCUUAUUAACAGUAUGCCUUAUUUGUGAUCGAGUGUCUUAUGUAGAUACUCAAGAGGAACACAGCUGGAGAUCCAUGUCCGCCGAUGCAUUUACCCAGAGAAAUAGAGAAGCACAAAAUACCAAAGAGGUUGUGCCAUGGAGCUGCAGGGUAGAGGAAUGAGGCUGGCGAUGGGAGGGAAGAGCAGGCCGGCCCUGGUUCAUCAUGGAGAAUGCUUGAAAAUUAGGCGUGGCUGCUCUCUCUGCUUCGCCUCUUCUUCCAUGGACCAUGUAUCUGUGGUUGCCUACAGGGUGACAAAAUCGAGGGCUGCAGCUAGAGCAUCAAAAGUGGAACUCGAUUGUCCACUAUCAAGGCUUUGGUAGCAUAAGAAGUUGAUUCAGUGGUAAAUGCAUCAGGAGUUCCUACUUCCAUCUUACCCUAGGCUUGAUAUAAAAGGGUCUUGCUGGAUAGUGGUCCUGCACCACACCUCAGUCAAUAAGUUCAGUUUUGUAGAAUUUACUAGCAUGUUUUCUAAUGGAUGGCUGAAGCACAGCUUGCUCAAAAUGCUAUAUACGUCGCCAACCUGGGUUUGGGUGACUCGACGCUGCAGCAGGUGGAGCAGAAGUGGAUGCAGUCUUCAUGUUAAUCACUGGUUCUUCUCUCUAUUUCUUUUCUUUCUAUUCCUGUAAUUUAUUAUCAUGUGAUUGGUGAGAGCUGAUGGAGGAAGAGAUCUGGCGGCAUUCAUUUUAAGUGACUGAAAAAUAUUGUGAGGCACAUAUAUAUCAAUCAUAUGCUUCCUUCAACUCAUCCAAAAUAUCUAAUAUUGACUCUAAUUUUUAGUUUGUUAUGUACAUUCUCCCGCAUGCAAAAACUCUGUCUAGGUUUUUUUCUGGUUUAUAUUACUAUUUUUUCCUUAAUACUCUGUCUGUAUCUGUAUGUUAGGCCAAGAUAAACCACAACUGCAGUGAUAUGAAGGUAGAUGGGGUCAGUUUCCCCAUGUCUUAUGUAUAUAGAUUUUGGAGUUGGACCAUCCUGGAAAACAUAACUUUCCUUUGUUCAUUUUCCCUAUUUUUAUGAGCCUCCUCAUUUGUUUGCCAAAGAACCUGCUGCCGAAUUAUUGUCACUCGGUUGUUGUUUUUAUUGCUCUUUUCAUUGUUAUACUUAUAUUUAAAGAUGAACACAAUUAGACCUGGGAAGUUACGAUUGCUUUUUUAGCUAACAGAAGUUGUAUUUGUAAACCACUUAGUAUCUAUAUGUAACUGUAGGAUUUUAAAGAAUUUAGUAACGACCAUGUACUAUAGGCUUCUGUGGCAAGCCACUGUUUUUGUAGUUACUUCAAAAAAUGUUUAGGAUUUUCUCUGCUGUAUUACCUUAAAUUUAGUUGUUGAUUAAUUUAUUUUUUCCUUUGCAAGAAUGCCCGCUUUUGGUGAUGCAAGUAGCUAUUGGGUGAUUUUCUGUUAACUAUGUCAUGGCCUCCAAAGACAUGUCCUUCCAUUUGUGUUUGGCUGUAUAUAUGAAGUAGGUUCAAGCUGCAAUAGUUACCGUGUGUUCUUCACUUACCGCUUGUUUCGUGCAGCCUACCAUUCCCCUGUUGUUGAUUAUUUUCUGGUGUCUGUAAUAAUAUUAAAUUGAGGUUAUCUAUUUUCUUUGACAAGAAAAGGCAACCUUGAUAAAGAACGUUGCAAAUUAAGCGGAAGAAGAGAGAGCGAGGGAGGAAAAAAGGAGACUCCCAGAUCACUGACAACACCUACAAAGAAAAAUGGGUAGUCCAUGGCUUUGUCCUUAACUUGCACAUCCUGGAAUAAAAUCUGGAGCUAUAGAUUUAUUUCCAAAUUGGUAGGAGUAUCACUGUUGGUAAAUAAUGAUACAACAAACGAAGGGCUUAGGAGUAAUAAAUUUCCUAUUGAUUAGGGCAAUGUAAUCUCUGUUGGACUGUAGGCUGAAAAGUACCAAACUGAGAAACACCGAAGUUAGGUGAGGCUGAAGUUUUUCGAAUACCUUGAGGAUGCAACAUACAGGAAUGCAUCCCCGCCAUCUGCCCAGGGGGAACAAAAUCACCUACUCUCAAUAGAGAAGAUGGAACAUCAGGUACAUAAUGGGCAUUAUAUUCCAGAAAAUAGUAGAAUCGAAGUGUUCUUAGGAAUUGUAUUAAUGAAUAUUUAUAUAGUGUUUCACACAUGAUAGUUUUUUAUUUCACUUCUAAAGAUGCUUAAUAUAGUGUUUUGUAAUUGUUUACCGGGGCACUAAGACACUCAUGUGCUACUACUACUACGUUUGUGAUUUUGUUUGUUUUAUCCUAAUUUAAUUCACCUCACUUCGUUUUGAAUUAAACCUGAAAAACACAUUAAUAUUGUCCAACUUAUUUUUUUACUUUUUACAAACCGUAAAUCGAUGGGAACUUCACGGGAUCGUGCGCCAAGGCGCCAUUUUAAGGUACAGUAAAGAUAGUUAGAGAGAUUGUUGUAUUUGGAUGUUCUUUAUGAAAAUUUAAAAGUAGUUUCCUGCACACCACUUUAUUUUUCUAUAUUCUCUCCUAAUUUAUUCAUGUACAUCAGUAUGAGUAUAAAUGCUAUCUCCUAAAAUAUUUCAUUCUGCUAGGUUCCUACAUUUGUGUCCAGAUCUAUGUAACUAUUGACUACACACGAGUGGUGAACUUAAGUAUUGAGCGAGGGAAGAAAAUGGCUCCAAGGUAACAUACUAAAACACUUGAGAGCUGGUUUCUGAGAAAUUUAACAUUUACUACUCACCUAAAAAGGCAUGUACUAACAUUCAGGGAGUAGGAUACAAUUAUGAACAAGCAGCGCCCCUUCAGUUUAAGCAAUAAUUUAAUUUAGUGAGGUUGAAUUCAAUGUUUAAUUUUAUUCGAACCCAGUAUAUCUAUGAUAUGUUAUUUGCAUAGAGUUUUCUUCUUUCGAAAACGGAAGUCCCAUCAUUUGCUUGCAUAUUUGUUUGCCCACAACCAAAAUAUUGCUUUAUUAAACUGAACUUUCUUUAGCUUUUGCGCUACAGCUGAGAGCAGGUAUUAUUUCCUCAUCAAGCAUGCGAUUCAUCUUGCUGCCAACUAUUGCAUUAUUCAAUCUAUUUGCACAUUCAUGUGUUAUUAUUUUGCCAAUGGUUUACCUUAACUGUCUAUUCCUGGAUUGACUUAGUGUUCUACCUUAUGACAACUUAUGGCUUCCAAGAUUACUUCAGUCCAGUACAGUAUAUCGAUGCAACAGUUAAAGGAAGAGGCUUACCGCUAUGACUUCGAUGUGCAUCCUACAGAUUACGAGCUUUGCUUUAAACCUGAAUGGUACCCCCUCCAUGUGUUUAGCUAUUGUAAUCUCUGAACAAUGUGUUCAUGUCCCCAUUGUAAUAUAUUUUCCUAUUUUCUCACUUGUGUUUGGCACAUUUCUCUACUGCACUAUCUGUAAUUACCUCUCUGAUGGUCAAUGGAAUGUUAACCACUCA